GAUGAACGCUGGCGGCGUGCCUAAUACAUGCAGGUCGAGCGAACAGACGAGGAGCUUGCUCCUCUGACGUUAGCGGCGGACGGGUGAGUAACACGUGGAUAACCUACCUAUAAGACUGGGAUAACUUCGGGAAACCGGAGCUAAUACCGGAUAAUAUAUUGAACCGCAUGGUUCAAUAGUGAAAGACGGUUUUGCUGUCACUUAUAGAUGGAUCCGCGCCGCAUUAGCUAGUUGGUAAGGUAACGGCUUACCAAGGCAACGAUGCGUAGCCGGCCUGAGAGGGUGAUCGGCCACACUGGAACUGAGACACGGUCCAGACUCCUACGGGAGGCAGCAGUAGGGAAUCUUCCGCAAUGGGCGAAAGCCUGACGGAGCAACGCCGCGUGAGUGAUGAAGGUCUUCGGAUCGUAAAACUCUGUUAUUAGGGAAGAACAAAUGUGUAAGUAACUAUGCACGUCUUGACGGUACCUAAUCAGAAAGCCACGGCUAACUACGUG
rnacentral:rRNA from 1 species